AGAGUUUGAUCCUGGCUCAGGAUAACGCUGGCGGCGUGCCUAACACAUGCAAGUCGAACGAUCCGCAAGGGAGAGUGGCGGAAGGGUGAGUAACACGUGGGAAUCUACCUCCUCGCAGGGAACAACCUCUCGAAAGAGAGGCUAAUACCCAAAAGGGUCAGAAAUGAUCAGAGUCGAAAGGCGUGAGGAGAGGAGCCCGCGGCCCAUCAGCUAGUUGGUGAGGUAAUGGCUUACCAAGGCUACGACGGGUAGGGGAUCUGAGAGGAUGUCCCCCACACUGGAACUGAAACACGGUCCAGACGCCUACGGGUGGCAGCAGUGAGGAAUAUUGGACAAUGGGCGAAAGCCCGAUCCAGCAACGCCGCGUGGAGGAUGAAGGCCUUCGGGUCGUAAACUUCUUUAGAGGGAGACGAGAAAGGACGGUAUCCCUAGAAUAAGCGACGGCAAACUACGUG
rnacentral:rRNA from 1 species